UGCGUAGGGUGCGAGCGUUGUCCGGAAUUAUUGGGCGUAAAGGGCUCGUAGGCGGUUUGUCGCGUCGGGAGUGAAAACACUGGGCUUAACUCAGUGCUUGCUUCCGAUACGGGCAGACUAGAGGUAUGCAGGGGAGAACGGAAUUCCUGGUGUAGCGGUGAAAUGCGCAGAUAUCAGGAGGAACACCGAUGGCGAAGGCAGGUCUCUGGGCAUUAACUGACGCUGAGGAGCGAAAGCAUGGGGAGCGAACAGG
rnacentral:rRNA from 1 species